UACAGAGGGUGCGAGCGUUAAUCGGAAUUACUGGGCGUAAAGCGUGCGUAGACGGCUAUCUAAGUCGGGUGUGAAAGCCCCGGGCUCAACCUGGGAAUUGCAUUCGAGACUGAAUAGCUAGGGUACGGUAGAGGGAAGCGGAAUUUCCGAUGUAGCGGUGAAAUGCGUAGAUAUCGGAAGGAACAUCAGUGGCGAAAGCGGCUUCCUGGACCAGUACCGACGUUCAGGCACGAAAGCGUGGGGAGCAAACAGG
rnacentral:rRNA from 1 species